UUUAUGGAGAGUUUGAUCCUGGCUCAGGAUGAACGCUGGCGGCGUGCCUAAUACAUGCAAGUCGAGCGAACAGAUAAGGAGCUUGCUCCUUUGACGUUAGCGGCGGACGGGUGAGUAACACGUGGGUAACCUACCUAUAAGACUGGAAUAACUCCGGGAAACCGGGGCUAAUGCCGGAUAACAUGUUGAACCGCAUGGUUCUACAGUGAAAGACGGUCUUGCUGUCACUUAUAGAUGGACCCGCGCCGUAUUAGCUAGUUGGUGGGGUAACGGCCUACCAAGGCGACGAUACGUAGCCGACCUGAGAGGGUGAUCGGCCACACUGGAACUGAGACACGGUCCAGACUCCUACGGGAGGCAGCAGUAGGGAAUCUUCCGCAAUGGGCGAAAGCCUGACGGAGCAACGCCGCGUGAGUGAUGAAGGUCUUCGGAUCGUAAAGCUCUGUUGUUAGGGAAGAACAAAUGUGUAAGUAACUGUGCACAUCUUGACGGUACCUAACCAGAAAGCCACGGCUAACUACGUGUCCGCGGUAAUACGUAGGUGGCAAGCGUUAUCCGGAAUUAUUGGGCGUAAAGCGCGCGUAGGCGGUUUUUUAAGUCUGAUGUGAAAGCCCACGGCUCAACCGUGGAGGGUCAUUGGAAACUGGAAAACUUGAGUGCAGAAGAGGAAAGUGGAAUUCCAUGUGUAGCGGUGAAAUGCGCAGAGAUAUGGAGGAACACCAGUGGCGGCUUUCUGGUCUGCAACUGACGCUGAUGUGCGAAAGCGUGGGGAUCAAACAGGAUUAGAUACCCUGGUAGUCCACGCCGUAAACGAUGAGUGCUAAGUGUUAGGGGGUUUCCGCCCCUUAGUGCUGCAGCUAACGCAUUAAGCACUCCGCCUGGGGAGUACGGUCGCAAGACUGAAACUCAAAGGAAUUGACGGGGACCCGCACAAGCGGUGGAGCAUGUGGUUUAAUUCGAAGCAACGCGAAGAACCUUACCAAAUCUUGACAUCCUUAUAUUCUGAAGAGAAUACGUUUUCCCUUCGGGGACGCAAUGACAGGUGGUGCAUGGUCGUCGUCAGCUCGUGUCGUGAGAUGUUGGGUUAAGUCCCGCAACGAGCGCAACCCUUGAACUUAGUUGCCAUCAUUCAGUUGGGCACUCUAAGUUGACUGCCGGUGACAAACCGGAGGAAGGUGGGGAUGACGUCAAAUCAUCAUGCCCUUAUGAUUUGGGCUACACACGUGCUACAAUGGACAAUACAAAGGGCAGCGAAACCGCGAGGUCAAGCAAAUCCCAUAAAGUUGUUCUCAGUUCGGAUUGUAGUCUGCAACUCGACUACAUGAAGCUGGAAUCGCUAGUAAUCGUAGAUCAGCAUGCUACGGUGAAUACGUUCCCGGGUCUUGUACACACCGCCCGUCACACCACGAGAGUUUGUAACACCCGAAGCCGGUGGAGUAACCAUUUUGGAGCUAGCCGUCGAAGGUGGGACAAAUGAUUGGGGUGAAGUCGUAACAAGGUAGCCGUAUCGGAAGGUGCGGCUGGAUCACCUCCUUUCU
rnacentral:rRNA from 1 species